AUAUUGCUAUGGAAGGAAGUGCUGGAAAGGGAAGGGAAUGGUCCCUUUAAAUGAUACAGAAGUGGGGGAAGGGCGUUGGUCCCUGGCUAGGGCUCCACCCCUGGGCCCCUGCCCUGGGACCUAGGUGAGAACAGGCCCUCCUGCCUUUGCACCCAAAUGUUGUGUUUCCCAAGACCACCCUAGCCUGCCCUGCCCCCAUCCUGUGCCUAUAAAAACCCCUGACACCCUAGCAAGCAGACACACAGGCAGAUGGACAUGGAGAGGAAUGCACCGACAGGCACCAGCAUGCCAGCAGGCCACCGACCAGGAGAACUAUCCUAUACGGAGUUUAGCUGGGGCACUGAGUGGCCGGACUCCAGUGGAAAACCUUCCCACUCCAUCCCCUUCUGGCUUCCUCCAUCUGCUGAGAGCUACCUCCGCUCAAUAAAACCUUGCACUCACUCUCCAAGCCCAGGUGUGAUCCGAUUCUUCCAGUGCACCAAGAGUACAUAAAUGGAAGUCUCACCCCCUCAAGUGGAUUCUCUGUACUGUAGCUGGCUCAAGAAAGGAGAAGGGGCUUUGUCAAGUAAAACUGGCUGAUUGCUUUCCCUUCAGUCAUCAAACUGACUAACAGUAGAAGGAAAACCAGGCUUUUGAUUUUGGACAAACUCAUAUACGGAGAGAACCACUUUCAAAAACACAGUUAAAAGAGCCUAUUGAUAACUCCUCUGGGAGUUAGUCUUUAUACAUCCAUCUGUGGGACACGCACAGGCAGAAUUGUGGAAUAUCACCUCAAAAAAGAAAAAUAAGAAAGCAAGAUCAGGAGAAAUGAGACUGGAGCAGAACUGUCAUGCACUGAUCAUCUCUGUGUGGAAUGCAAAAAUGGAUAUGGAUAUUAAACUCCAGGAGAUGUUAUUUGGGAAAGGUGACUGCAAGAAGUCAAGCUAUUCAGAGACUAUACCUGAUCAUGAACAUUGUUCUACCUGUAAUCGUGCUGAGAGAAUAAUAUACUGGUGAGGGUGUGAGGGUGAAAGUAUUAUCACAUUUGCAAAGUAUAAUGCAAUUUCUCUCUCAUGGAGUAAAACUCUCCCUCUCUCUCUCUCUGUCUGUGUCUCUCUCUCUUUCCUACCUCCACUGUUCUAGUAGACCUUGACAUUCUGAAACUGGCCCAACUGUCCCAUAGAACUGAUGUUUAUGGUUUCUUUGAAUAAACACAGAAAUUGAUCCUCCUUGUCUUAAAACUUGAGAAAGUUACAUUUGUCUUAUCUGAGUUCUUCUCUCAGGAAACCAACCAUCAGGCCUCCCAGGUAGUAUCAAGGAGCUGAAACUUACCAGAUAAAGACAUCUGGACAAUGAGAAGCCAGACUACUUACCCAUCAUGAUUGCCUAAUUGACAACUUGCUUCCUGUUGACCACUUCCUCUUCCUCACCUCCUCUUCUUUACCCUUCCCUAAUUCCUGUUUCCUUACACCUGGUUACAUUUCUUCCCUCUAUAUAAACCCCUACUUUUAGUCAUCAGAGAGAUGGACUUGGGACUGAUUGCCCAUAUCCUUGGCUGCAGCACCCACUUAAAGCUUUCUUCACUGGCAAUAUUUGUUGUCUCAGUGGAUUGGCUUUUUGUGUGGAGAGUAACAGGACCUGAACCAAACCUCGGCAUUUUGGUAACAGAUUUACUACAGAAACAGACACGGUUUGAUAGCCUGACUCCUAGACUGAUCUUAGCAGUUCAGGACCAUCAGGUGCAGAUUUCACAGGCAGCAUGUGCCCUUACCAAAGAUGUCGAAUUGGGAGAGAUGUGUGUUUCAUAGCAACCAGGACUCCACCUUGAUCCAGGUACAAAACACUGUGCUCUUCUUCAAAGAUCUGGAUGAGGAAAACACAUACAUGGACACACAUCCACAUCCACACAUACCCAGGCUUCAGAGAAUCAGUCUUCACAUGAGAACAAAAAUCCUUCCCAUGAUAAAAAUAGGUUUCCCUAAAUCUUUGCGAAAAUAAAGCUAUAGAACAGUUCUUCCCAACAUGGGCUAUUAUACCAUUGGUGUUGUACAAAAUAAUUUUAGGUGUGUAUAAAAUAAAUUUGAACAAUGAAUAUUUAUGGGUUCAUGCUUAGAUUCCUUCAUUUUCAUGAUAAUUUCUAUUGAUUCCCAGUUAUGAUGAUGUCAGAAUAUUGGUUAACUGUCAUAUAUUAUACAUCUCUAGACAGAGGGAACCUUAGAAAUCAUUUACUCCAAUAGUCUCAUUUUCAUAAAUAAGAAAUCUAAGGUUUAGAGAGAUGUGGUAACUUGCCUGAGAUCAUGCAUACAGUAAUGGAUAGAGCUUGGACUUGCUGCAUUACAGUGCCCUUUCCAGAUCUUAUUAUUUUGAAGUUUCCAACUGUUAUCAAAGAAAACUGUUCUUGUUUAAUUAAUAGAUGUUCCACCAAAAUCAUGGUGAGUUCUGUUGUCAUCUUUGGGUACAUGUGUCAUUUGGUCUUUCUCCAAAUGUAGAGAAAGAAAUUUGAAGUCAAAUGGAGACACAAUGGAAACAAUCUCUAGAUCCUUUCUGUAUAAGAUGCAUGCUGUUUUCUCGUCAGAUUAUUAGUGUAGCCUUGCCUGGAGUUACAUUACAGACAAUCUUCUUCCAAUUUGUUUAUUUCUUAUACCCAAGAUGCAACCCAAGACUAUAGAAGUAAAGACUUCUUUGCCUUGCUUGCGGUGUUGGAAAGAAGAAAAUGGGAUCCUGGCUCUCUAUUCUCCAGAGGAAGUUUACUUAGAAUAGUCCAGGUUUCUACAUACCUCCAAGAUCAAUUGCUAUGGAGUUUCUUAUGCAAAUUUCUUCCCUUCCUCCUCCGCUCAAAAUAUCAGAAUCCCACUGAGGAUCUAUAGAGGGUCUGAAGCUAAGAAAUGGCAUUUGGAAUAUAAUGUGGACACCUCUGACUAAAAUUUAAAGGAGAGUGCUCUCAUCACUAAGUGUGAUUACCUGUGCAUUAGAUUUCAAUUUACAGUGCUAGUUAUUGUAU
rnacentral:lncRNA from 10 species